rnacentral:tRNA from 1 species
AAGGGUAUAGCUCAGUGGUAGAGUGUGUGCUUAGCAUGCCCAAGGUCCUGGGUUCAAUCCCCAGUACCUCUA